UUGGAGGGCAAGUCUGGUGCCAGCAGCCGCGGUAAUUCCAGCUCCAAUAGCGUAUAUUAAAGUUGUUGCAGUUAAAAAGCUCGUAGUUGAAUUUCGGGAUCAAGGAAUCGGUCAUGCCUCGGUAUGUACUGGUUUUAUUGGUUCUCACCUUCUAAAGAACCAUAAUGUCAUUCAUUUGAUGUUAUGGGGAAUUAGGACUGUUACCUUGAAAAAAUUAGAGUGUUUAAAGCAGGCUUACGCUUGAAUACAUUAGCAUGGAAUAAUGAAAUAGGACAUCAGAUUCUAUUUUGUUGGUUUCUAGGAUCGAUGUAAUGAUUAAUAGGGAUAGUUGGG
rnacentral:rRNA from 1 species